GGAGCCAAGGAGCAAGAGGGUGAGGCCAGGCAGCCUGAGCCCCGGGGCCCCCAGAGCACCCAGGCACAGAGGCCGGGAGGUCACAGCAGCUUCUGGUGUGUUUAUUUUUAGAAUCCAGGGUCUCAGAGUCAGUGAGGCAACAGGAAACCCUGUUGUGGUCUGGCUGGCUGUGACGAACGCAGUCGGAACCACAGCCCAGUUGCAGGACACCCCCCUACCGGAAGCCACCCCACGGUUCAGGGACAUCACAACCUGAGGGCUGGCAGGGAGAGUGAGAGGCAGGGGAGGAGGACAGGCCACGAGUAAAAGUACCCAGAGUGUCACAGGAAAGUCACGGGACCUCUCCCCUCCUCGUUCCACAGAUGAGUCCUGGACAGAUUGGGUCUAAGUUGCUUAUUGCCCAGACUGAUCUUGAAGUUGUGAUUCUCCUGCCUCAGCUCCGCAGCGCACUGGGAUUGCAGGCAUGAACCACCAUACCUGGCUCAGCCAGUGCUAUUUUAACUACACAUGCCGUUGUUCACAGAGAUAACUUCAAGGCAAAAGCAAAUUGUUUCGCCUUCCCCUGUGCCCACCUUACUCUACCAGAAUCUUCAAGCUCCAAGGUCUAUCAGAGAAUGCCAUCUGUUUCCUAAGCCUCCCAUGCCCCCAACAGCUUCUAGGAGGAGAAACAGAAGCACGGGGAGAACACUGGCCUGAAGUCACAUCAGGUCACAAACCAACACGAGGUGGCAGGCAAGGGAGGCGGGCACUCGUACAGACCACAGGAACACAAGGACCCCAUGUGAACACGCCCGGCCCCGCACUGCUGUAACUAGGAAAACCUGCUCUCGACCCAGCUGCACAGUGGAAUCAGCUGCAGGGUUUCGAAUGCCCCUGUCCUGGACUCCGAGAUCCCGACCCAACCAGCCUCGGUGUGGCGAUGGCCGGUGUGCAGCCUGGCACCAGCACUGACCCACAGCUGCUGCAUAGGAGCCAUCAGGUGACAGGAGCCGUGGGGCUGCAGGCGUCAAAGCACAGCCAGCCCCAGGCUCCUGGUGGGGCUGGCACAUGCCACCAGGAUUCGAGUCACCUGACGGGCCACAAAGCCAGCUUGCCCUCAGGAUGGAGACCGCAGCCCCACACCACGGACAAUUCUGAAUCUUUCUCCAGCUACUCAUAGGCACCCGACUAAUGCCUCUUCUACAGCUGUGGUGGUGGCUGUGGCCAAGCACCCUGCUAAGGACUUUGUGUGCAGUCUCCUUUAACCCCUGCCACUGCUGUGUGCCCUGGUGUGGUCGUUCCCAUUUUACAGGACAGGGAAACUGAGGCUCAGAGAAGGUCUCCAUGGAGGGCAGGGGUCCACAGUGGGCUGAGUCCAUCUCCAUAGAACUGGCUACUGUGAAUCCCCUAACCACCUUAUCAAUUUCUUGAACAACACAGCUGUUCUGUCAUAAAAAGUAGGAGAGCUCUAAAGCAAACCAGUGAAAACAAGGUUCUCAAAACACAAGGAACAUGCCAGGGAUUUAGCUCAGUGGUUCCACCACCUGCCUUGGAAGCACAAGGUCCCGAGUUCGAUCUCCGGUACCAAAAACCCCCCCCCAAACCACACAAUGAACUUGACAAGAGUCAAGCAUGACAAAGAACGUGUUCUCUGACCAGACCAUUUGCCCCUAGCGGCCCUGCCCAUCUCCCCAGGUCCCCAGCAAUGCCACCGCCUCUGUGACGACAGGCAGGCUCCUGCCCCCAGAGCUCCCCAAGGUGCAUCCUCAGAAGGCCCUGCAUUCUGGGUACCACUGCCCCUGCAGCUUCUGAGCCCUGGUCCAGGCCUGGACGAGGCCCCCUCUACACCUCGCACCUGCCUGCCUCCUCCAGAUUCCCUUGGACUCCCCAGGUUUACCUGCUGCUGUUCAUCCCAGGGGACAGACCCGCACCCCACAUCCAUUUUUUUUUAGUGUUACUAGUGUGAAACGUGAGCAAAAGGGAAACACAUUCCUAACAGCCCGACACACCCAGCUUCUCUAGCAUUUAUCUACUUCUCAAACCUGCAUCUUUAGGGUUAUAGUCUGAGAUCACAGAUGAUUCUGCAUCUUUCUCCCAGUUACAGGCACCCGACUUAUGCCUCUUCCUGGCCAAGACACUUUCCAAGGAAUCAGAUGGUCUUAUUGUUGCAUUUUGAUUGAGUCUCAUUUUCAGCAUCUUUAUCACCAAUUCUAGAAGCACAUUUUCUCACCUUUUAACAUCUCUGAAAGGUGGAUGUGCCUGUUUCGCAAUGGGUCUGUUUCAGCCUUGUGUCAUUUUAUCUCACCAAAGUACUUCACAGUACAUAACAGUCCAUCUACAACAGACAGCAUCUCACAUCCAAUGUGCUCAGUAUCUAGUGCCAUGAAUUUGUCCUUUUGUAGUACUGGGGUUUGAACCCAGGCUCUGUGCACACUAAGCAAGCACCCUGCUGCUGAGCUGCAUCCUCAGCCCGUUUUUAUUUAUUCUGAG